rnacentral:rRNA from 1 species
CGAACCUGGUUGAUCCUGCCAGUAGUCAUAUGCUUGUCUCAAAGAUUAAGCCAUGCAUGUCUAAGUAUAAACAACGUUGUACUGUGUAACUGCGAAUGGCUCAUUAAAUCAGUUAUAGUUUAUUUGAUCGUAACCUUACUACUUGGAUAUCCGUGGUAAUUCUAGAGCUAAUACAUGCAAAUAAAAUCCCGACU